rnacentral:rRNA from 1 species
UGGGGAAUAUUGGACAAUGGGCGCAAGCCUGAUCCAGCCAUGCCGCGUGAGUGAUGAAGGCCCUAGGGUUGUAAAGCUCUUUCACCGGUGAAGAUAAUGACGGUAACCGGAGAAGAAGCCCCGGCUAACUUCGUGCCAGCAGCCGCGGUAAUACGAAGGGGGCUAGCGUUGUUCGGAUUUACUGGGCGUAAAGCGCACGUAGGCGGACUAUUAAGUCAGGGGUGAAAUCCCGGGGCUCAACCCCGGAACUGCCUUUGAUACUGGUAGUCUUGAGUUCGAGAGAGGGGGGUGGAAUUCCGAAUGUAGAGGUGAAAUUCGUAGAUAUUCGGAGGAACACCAGUGGCGAAGGCGGCUCACUGGCUCGAUACUGACGCUGAGGUGCGAAAGCGUGGGGAGCAAACAGG